AACGAACGCUGGCGGCGUGUUUAAGACAUGCAAGUCGAACGGGAUGAAGUUGUAGCAAUACCGCUUCAUUCAGUGGCGGACGGGGGAGUAACACGUGAGUAACCUGCCCGAAAAUGGGGAAUAGCCCGAGGGAACUCGGAUUAAUACCGCAUGCGAUCCUAAGAUUAAAGGCGGCGCAAGCUGCCGCUUCUGGAUGGGCUCGCGGCCUAUCAGCUUGUUGGUGAGGUAACGGCUCACCAAGGCGACGACGGGUAGCUGGUCUGAGAGGAUGAUCAGUCACACUGGAACUGAGACACGGUCCAGACACCUACGGGUGGCAGCAGUCGAGAAUCAUUCGCAAUGGGGGAAACCCUGACGGUGCGACGCCGCGUGGAGGAUGAAGGCCCUAGGGUUGUAAACUCCUGUCAUCGGGGAGUAAGGUCUGCAGUUUAAUAGAUUGCAGGAUUGAUAGUACCCGAAGAGGAAGAGACGGCUAACUCUGUGCCAGCAGCCGCGGUAAUACAGAGGUCUCAAGCGUUGUUCGGAAUCACUGGGCGUAAAGCGUAUGUAGGCUGUACGGUAAGUCAGAUGUGAAAGCCCAGGGCUCAACCCUGGAACUGCAUCCGAUACUGCCAUACUAGAGUAGUAGAGGGGUAUAUGGAAUUCACGGUGUAGCAGUGAAAUGCGUAGAUAUCGUGAGGAACACUGGCGGCGAAGGCGAUAUACUGGAUACUUACUGACGCUGAGAUACGAAGGCUAGGGUAGCGAAAGGGAUUAGAUACCCCUGUAGUCCUAGCAGUAAACGGUGCGCGCUUGGUGUAGGAGGACUCGACCCCUUCUGUGCCGGAGCUAACGCGUUAAGCGCGCCGCCUGGGGAGUACGGUCGCAAGACUAAAACUCAAAGAAAUUGACGGGGACCCGCACAAGCGGUGGAGUAUGUGGCUUAAUUCGAUGCAACGCGAAGAACCUUACCCAGACUUGACAUGUAUUGCUAAGCACGUGAAAGCGUGUGACCCUUCGGGGACCUUACACAGGUGCUGCAUGGCCGUCGUCAGCUCGUGUCGUGAGAUGUUUGGUUAAGUCCAGCAACGAGCGCAACCCCUGUGAAUAGUUGCCAGCACGUAAUGGUGGGGACUCUAUUCAGACCGCCCGGGUCAACCGGGAGGAAGGUGGGGAUGACGUCAGGUCAGUAUGGCCCUUACGUCUGGGGCUGCACACGUACUACAAUGCUCAGUACAAUGAGAACCGAGACCGCGAGGUGGAGGAAAUCUAUAAAACUGGGCCCAGUUCGGAUUGGAGGCUGCAACUCGCCUCCAUGAAGUUGGAAUCGCUAGUAAUGGCACAUCAGCUACGGUGCCGUGAAUACGUUCCCGGGUCU
rnacentral:rRNA from 1 species